rnacentral:lncRNA from 1 species
GGCAUAUAUUUUACUUCAACUAACCAACAUUUACUUUCAAAGAAGAAAGAAACAUCGAGCUUCCCGGCAGGUCCUCCCAGCCCAGACACAAGCCAGUUGACUGGCAAAGGAAAAUGACCACCACUCCUACCCCACUGUUCACCCUGCUGGCAGAGCCGCAGGCCUGGUGCCAAGGCCCUGGCAGUUUUAAGGCUGUUUCCUGGCAGCCAUUGGCUUUUCUAUGCCAUGUGACUCUGCUUCUGUCUGUCUGGAUUUUGUUCUGAGUUUCCUUAGGGCAUGCUUCUGAACAGCAUCAGGAACGGCAGCAAGAGCCCUGGGAUUCAGCAAAGCCAUGUUAUCCAGGAACCUUGGAUCUCUGAGCUGUCCCAGGCUCCCUCUGCCAGCCGCUUGCUUCAGGGCUUCAAAGGAAGGCUCGGCUGCAGUACCCAGCAUGCUUUUCUGCGGCUGCCACAGCCCUCUUUUGAAGCACCAUGGUAGCCAACAGAGAGGAUUCUGUGUUACGUACAGUAUGACCCUGGAGGAGCCAGCCAGCUGCUGUGACUCAGCUAAAAACAGGGAACUCGCUAUGAGAGGCUAUGGUGAAUUCUCGAAGUUCUAUUACUUUCAGAAGCAGUUCUGAAUUAAAGGUGUCAACUGCCAAUAAGACAGUAGUAUAUUGGUGAGACGUAUGUAGAAAACAGUACAUUGUUCCAUCUCCUUUGGCUCUAGACAGCUGUCUCUCUCUCUGUCUCUGUCUCUGUCUCUCUCUCUCUGUCUCUCUCUCUCUGUCUCUGUCUCUGUCUCUCUCUCUCUCUCUCUCUCUCCCUCCCUCCCUCCCUCCCUUCCCUCUCCUCCCUUCCUUCCUUCUUUCCUUCCUUCCUUCCUUCUUUCUUUUUCUUUCUAAAAAAAGAUGACCAGUUAAAAUCAUAAAAGUAGACCUUCAACGAGAAGUCCAGUCUCAUUUUGUGAAACAUUUGCUAGGGUACUUUGCUCAGUUCAAAGGUAGAAAUUUAGAGGUGGGUGGAGUGUGAAAGGAACUUUGGCUAAAGAAAAAACUGAGUGGAGGGGCUCUCACUUAGGAGUGAUCUGAAAAUGACAGAUCAUAGCAAGGAAGCUACACACGUUAGUUAUUAAAUCAGCACUUUAAAGUGAAGACGAGGUUACUCUGUCCCCAGCAUCCUUG